rnacentral:misc_RNA from 1 species
UUCAUGCCUUUCACGUAAAUC